ACUCCUACGGGAGGCAGCAGUGGGAAUAUUGGACAAUGGGGGGAACCCUGAUCCAGCCAUGCCGCGCGUGUGAGAAGGAGCCUUAUGGUUGUAAAGCACUUUAAGCGAGGAGGAGGCUACUGAGACUAAUACUCUUGGAUAGUGGACGUUACUCGCAGAAUAAGCACCGGCUAACUCUGUGCCAGCAGCCGCGGUAAUACAGAGGGUGCGAGCGUUAAUCGGAUUUACUGGGCGUAAAGCGUGCGUAGGCGGCCAUUUAAGUCAAAUGUGAAAUCCCCGAGCUUAACUUGGGAAUUGCAUUCGAUACUGGAUGGCUAGAGUAUGGGAGAGGAUGGUAGAAUUCCAGGUGUAGCGGUGAAAUGCGUAGAGAUCUGGAGGAAUACCGAUGGCGAAGGCAGCCAUCUGGCCUAAUACUGACGCUGAGGUACGAAAGCAUGGGGAGCAAACAGGAUUAGAUACCCUGGUAGGCUCUG
rnacentral:rRNA from 1 species